rnacentral:rRNA from 1 species
UACGGGGGGGGGCAAGCGUUGUUCGGAAUUACUGGGCGUAAAGGGCUCGUAGGCGGCCAACUAAGUCGGACGUGAAAUCCCUCGGCUUAACCGGGGAACUGCGUCCGAUACUGGAUGGCUUGAGUUUGGGAGAGGGAUGCGGAAUUCCAGGUGUAGCGGUGAAAUGCGUAGAUAUCUGGAGGAACACCGGUGGCGAAGGCGGCAUCCUGGACCAACACUGACGCUGAUGAGCGAAAGCCAGGGGAGCAAAGCGGG